GGAAAGGUGCCAGAGUGGUUGAAUGGGGCGGUCUCGAAAACCGUUGAGCGUCUUUCGGCGCUCCGAGGGUUCGAAUCCCUCCCUUUCCG
rnacentral:tRNA from 1 species